AGCAGCAUGGCUUAGUGGAAAGAACAUGGGCUUGGGAGUCAGAAGCCCUGGGUUCUAAUCCCAGCUCUGCCA
rnacentral:tRNA from 1 species